GUUAACGUUUCUGGCAGCAUUGAACAAGGGGCGCAUUGUUCAGCUUUAAGGCGUAAGCGUAACUGAAGCAAAAUUGAAUAUCGUUCAUUUCGGCAGCCGCAGCGAGCACUGAAGAGCACGUAGUCAGUCAGCAGUGCAGCCUCAGCAGGACACAUCAAUCAAGCUGCAGUCAACCUUCCACGCCCACGCCAAAG